rfam:Clostridium sp. IEH 97212 scaffold_20, whole genome shotgun sequence.
UAAUAAAUAAUGCCGAAUCUUCUUCUUUUGAAGUACCGGAGAUACUUUUGGGGUGAAUCUUGUAAUAGUAGGGUCCCUCUAACCCGAAUCCGUCAACUAACCUGGUAGGCAAUAUGGAGGUAUUUA